rnacentral:piRNA from 1 species
UGAGAAACUUUACUACAUGCCCCUGU